rnacentral:rRNA from 1 species
UACGGGGGGAGCAAGCGUUGUUCGGAUUUACUGGGCGUAAAGGGCGCGUAGGCGGCCAGCACAAGUCGGUUGUGAAAUCUCCGGGCUUAACUCGGAAAGGUCAACCGAUACUGUGCGGCUAGAGUGCGGAAGGGGCAACUGGAAUUCUCGGUGUAGCGGUGAAAUGCUUAGAUAUGACAUAGAACACCAAUUGCGAAGGCAGCUUGCUACAGGGAUAUUGACACUGAGGCACGAAAGCGUGGGGAUCAAACAGG